GUGGCGUUAGUUUAGUCUGGUCAGAAUAGCGGUCUUUCACAUCGCCGACAUGGGUCCAAAUCCCAUACGCCAUA
rnacentral:tRNA from 1 species